rnacentral:rRNA from 1 species
GAUGAACGCUGACAGAAUGCUUAACACAUGCAAGUCUUUGGCGAAGCUGUGCUUGCACAGCCUAGCUAAGGCGGACGGGUGAGUAACGCGUAAGGAACUUGCCCUGCAGUCAGGGAUAACAGACGGAAACGACUGAUAAGACCUGGUAAAGUCAGCCGGACUCAUGUCCAGCCUGAUGAAAAGAGAUGCUGCAGGGGAGCCUUGCGUCCUAUUAGCUUGUUGGUGGGGUAACGGCCCACCAAGGCGAUGGUAGGUAGCCGGCCUGAGAGGGUGGGCGACCACAAGGGGACGGAGAUGCGGACCGUACUCCGGCGGGAGGCAGCAGUGGAGAAUAUUGGACAAUGGGGGCAACCAUGAACCAGCAAUGCUGUGGGCACGAUGAAGGUUUUCGGAUUGUAAAGUGCUUUCAGCAGGGAAGAAAAAAUGACGGUACCUGCAGAAGAAGCGACGGCUAAAUACGUG